CAACCUCGGCUCUGGUCACCUUAAGUUUCGGUUUGUUCCGUGAAAUCAGCUGUUUGGAUCCGUGCGUAAAACAUGACUCACCCGGACAUCCUCCAUCUGUCAGCAAACACUGCGCUUCUUCACGUUGCGAAAUCAUUAACUCUGCAGAUGAAGUGGGUGGAAACUUUUAUACAUACAGUCUAUGGUGUGAACGCAAGCCGAGUUCUUUCUCUCUUGUCUUAUUCUCUGAGGAAGUUAAUUUCUGUCUCUCGGACGAAGCGCUGCAACACACCUGUGACGAGGCAUUGCUGAAAUACCACCUCUAAAAAUAAACUGCAUCCAGGUA